rnacentral:rRNA from 1 species
AGAGUUUGAUCCUGGCUCAGAUUGAACGCUGGCGGCAUGCCUUACACAUGCAAGUCGAACGGCAGCACGGGAGCAAUCCUGGUGGCGAGUGGCGAACGGGUGAGUAAUAUAUCGGAACGUGCCCAGUCGUGGGGGAUAACGUAGAGAAAUUUACGCUAAUACCGCAUACGAUCUAAGGAUGAAAGCGGGGGACUCGCAAGGGCCUCGCGCGAUUGGAGCGGCCGAUAUCAGAUUAGCUAGUUGGUGGGGUAAAAGCCCACCAAGGCGACGAUCUGUAGCUGGUCUGAGAGGACGACCAGCCACACUGGAACUGAGACACGGUCCAGACUCCUACGGGAGGCAGCAGUGGGGAAUUUUGGACAAUGGGCGCAAGCCUGAUCCAGCAAUGCCGCGUGCAGGAUGAAGGCCUUCGGGUUGUAAACUGCUUUUGUACGGAACGAAACGGCGAGCUCUA